CCACCUAUAAUUAUCGGGCCUCGUAUAACCUCGGGAAUAAGGCUCGAGGGUCUCUACCAGAAACCAUAAAUUUCUGAUUACGACCUGCUUGUAAGAAUGA
rnacentral:ncRNA from 2 species